AAUAUAGCAGUAGUUUUAUAUUAUUUGUUUGUUUUCCUAGUUAGAAAUCUGCUCUGUUUAAUAUGAGCCCAAACGAAUGAGGACAUUCUUCAAAGAGACAAACUAAGGAUAUAAUAUUGUGCUCCUCAUCAUCUGCAAGCAAUAGCAUGGUGAUCAGACCUGGGUUGGACAAAUACGGAUUCUGAUUCAGGAGGCCUGGACUGGGGCUGUGGAUUCUGCAAUGCUGACAAACUCCCCAGGUGAUGGUGAUGCUGCCCGUUCUGAGUCCAAACUUCGAACAGAAGGACUGACCACCAGAACCUUGCCCUGGGAGCCUGUAGCCCUGUCUUUACAACCCACAGCCAUGAUGAUGGGCCAGGUCGAUCUCGUCACAGCUCGUCAAGUCAGCCACCAAAGCAGCCAAGUCCAGCCCAUGGCCGUGUGUUGUGUGGCUCUCUCAACUUCAUUUAUUUGGAUUCAUUGCUGGUGUUUUAAAAUCUAGAGAUGUAAAAAAAAUUUACAAUCUAAUCUAGAGAUGUAAAAAAAAUUUACAAUCUAGAAAUUGUAAAAAAAAAUCUAGAGAUAAAAAAAAAAUGGAUUUUUGAAUUCUCCAAAGAACUCAGAAGAUGCACUGCACUGGGAGACAGUCACUCUAAUUGCUGAGCAGUGGGAGCCCCGGUAUUCAGGGAAAGUGGCCUCCAGCUGCCAACUGAAGCUCUCCCUGCUGUCUGUCCAACAUGGGGGGCCAAUAUCCUUUGCCAAAUACCUAUCACUGUACACCAAGGUUUUUGACCUUGGCACUAUUGGCAUUUGGUGCCAGCUAAUUCUUUGUUGUAGGGCUGUCCCGUACAUUGUAGGACAUUGUCCCGUACAUUGUAGGAUGUUUAGCAGCAUCCCUGGCCUCUGCCCGCUAGAUGCCAGCAGCACACAUCCCUCCCCCUAGCUCCGUCACUCUCAUUUAUUCCAAAAACCCCUCCAGCCCUUGCCAAAUGUUCCCCGGGGCUGGGGCUCAAAUUGCCCCUGGUUGAGAACCACAAUGCUACCAUG